UACGUAGGGUGCAAGCGUUGUCCGGAAUUAUUGGGCGUAAAGAGCUCGUAGGCGGUGUGUCACGUCGGCCGUGAAAACCUGCAGCUUAACUGUGGGCGUGCGGUCGAUACGGGCAUCACUGGAGUUCGGCAGGGGAGACUGGAAUUCCUGGUGUAGCGGUGAAAUGCGCAGAUAUCAGGAGGAACACCGGUGGCGAAGGCGGGUCUCUGGGCCACUACUGACGCUGAGAAGCGAAAGCAUGGGGAGCGAACAGG
rnacentral:rRNA from 1 species